rnacentral:lncRNA from 1 species
UAGUAGAGGGGAUCUCUAGAGAAAAAGAAUCUAUGGUAUGCAUGUAUAUCAUGAGAUAUACUAAGGGCUAGGUAGUGUAAUAGUGACCAUUUGGACAAUGAAGGAAAUGAGAAUCUCAGCCCACAAAGCUAGAUGCUCCAGUAGUCCUCUUCUGGUGCUGAGGGUUCCUGGAGAAUUGCUGGUCCUGAGCUACAUGAAAAGGCCAAAGAAUCUAAACAAUGGUGGUGGCAUCAGCAGCAACAACAAAGAUAAACACACAGAGCAGCCAAAAGCAAAGGCAGGCAGUCAACUUUUCCCUUCAGUCCUGGAAUUUCUCUCACAGACCUGCACCCCCUGAUUCCUCAGAUGGCCCUAGACCCCAUUAACUUGAGAUUCCCCACCACAGUAUUUCCAAAUUCCAACCUGUAAGCUUCCUGUAAGGGAUUGCCCAGAGGAAAAUAAUGUCCAGUAGAUAGAUCAAAGUUGGCGACUUAACGGUUGGGAUCCUUUUGGCUGCAACCACCCCCCCCCCCAACUCCCACUACUGUAUCAGCAAUUUCUCUUAACUUAAACAUCUUGGUGUUUAUGUCUAGACUUGUUGGAAGAAGAGGAAUACAAAAAGAACAGAAGGUCUAGGCAAGUGGAGGAUGGUGACAACAUGUCUGUAAUUCCAGGUGGAGACAGGAAGACCUUGUGUUUAAGACACAAUUUCAAACACAGAAGGAAAAAAAAAUCCUGAGGCAGAUGUAGAUAUCAGACACAUUUGAGAUGAUGCCCGCCUCAGGUUUAUGUUAUAUGCUCUCUCCAGCCCAAAUUCUAUCCAAAGGGUCCUGUAUUGAGCAUGGGCAAAAGGAUCUCUAAAUAUGUCACACUUUGUCAGGUCAACCCUCUUUGUCUGGUAGAGCCAAGGGUGCUACAAAACAAAACAAAACAAAAAACAAACAAAAACAGUAUUUUGGAGACAUCAGAAAAGUCUCAGUCUUGAUGACCUUGUGUGAAAGUCUGUUCCAGCAGUUACCCCUGCUGUUCAUGUCACCCUGAGCAAGUUACCACCCAUCCCUCCUCCAAUGCAGCUUCAUGGACCACAGCCAUUUCCCCCAAGUUUCUGUACUCCUAACACUCCCUUGCCAAGUGGGCCAGAUAGCCUGGGACUGGCCCCCGUAGACGCCUUUUAUGACUAUGUGUUGUUCAUUAAUUUCUAGAAUGUUCAGCACAAAGUAACACUCCCUCCCCCUCCCCUCCUGGUAGCAGAGAUGGCGGUGCAAUUUCUCAGUGUCCUCAGUCAGUCCUUCCCCACACUCUACCCUGAGGCACCAUAAUGAGAGUUGUGACGACCCUGCUUAUUCUGAAGGGAAUCUGGGCCACACUAGACAGCAGUUUCCCCUGAGCUGAGAGAAGUUAACGAGUGAGGCAGAGAAACGAAUAGGCCUGUCCUUGUUAAUGCCACUGCCUGGUGGUCACAUUAAAAUGGACCUAUCAGAGGAGCCUUCUCACGAAUAAUUGCCACCAAAACAUCCAUCACGCCACAGCUAUUCCUACCAGAGUCCAACCCACCAAUAUACUUAAAUGAGGAAAAGAGAACAAAUUUACUUACAGGGGUCAUUCAUCAGGGUCAUGUUUCCGCUUCUGCUGUUAACCAUUACUGCUUGUUUAUUCUGGAAUCUCUUCUCACAGAGAAUUUGCUCUCGCACCUCAAAGGCACCUGAGAGCUUCCUGCAAGGGAUUGCUCAGAGCUAAAUAACAGUCCAGCAGGUAGAUCGAAGUUGGAGACUUAAGUUCUGUAUGCAAAAACCUUAUUAUCUAAGCAACUUUGUCCCAAGUCAUUUAGCUGUUCUGGUCCUCUUGCUUUUCUAUCAAGCACUGGAUUGCAAUGGAACAGAAACACACAGGAAAUGAAUGCCACAGACAGGUGGCUCCAUGGACUGUUUUUUUUUCUUUAUCUCCCCCCCCACCCAACUUCUUCUUUGCCUUUCUUCUUCCCUCAGGAACUCUAUGUAGUAACAUAGAUAGGACUCUAACUAAUGAGCUUUCCAAGAGCACGGUUAAAGUUGUUCAAACUGAGAGAUUAUGGGUAAGAAUAUAUUCUUCAAUGUAAAGGAUAAAGAAAUUAAUCUUGUUAGAAACAGAACACCUUAUUAAGGAGGAAAGGAACACUGGAGAAGAGGGAAGAAAGCUGUUUCUAUAAGAAGUUCCUGUGGGGUCAGGGAGGAGACACUGAGGAGACAUGGCCCAUGGUCCCCACACAUGCUCUUCUGGCUUGCUUGCUUGUUUUUCUUUUCCUUCCUUCUUUCCUUCCUUCCUUUCUUGCUUUGUUUCUUAGUUUUUCUAUUUGUUUCUUUCGUUCUUUGUUUCUUUCUUUGUUUCUCUUUCUUUGUUUCUCCCCCCCUUUCUUUCUUUCUAAUUUUGGCUAUUUCUUGCAGCUCUGUUGACAGUUUAGCAUUUACCUGCACAAGACUUGAGAGUGUUCUUACGCUUAUCAGUGGUUGCCUUACCUCUGUUCUUGGGUGACAGACAGAGUUACUAUUAUUGUUUGGCUUUAUUUUUUUAAUUAUAUGUAUAUGGGUAUGUAUAUGUCUUAUGUGUAAACAUAUGCAUGUAAGAGCUCAUAGAGGUGGGAAGAGGGCAGCCGAUCUCCUUAAGCUUGUGUUACAGGAUGUUGUAAACCACUCUUUUGGAUGCUGGGAAUCAAACUCAAGUCCUUCAGAAGAAUGGUGCAUGAUUUUAAUUGAUGAGCUAUCUCUCCAACUCCUGCUGUUGCUUUUAACUGACACAAAAUUCAUAUAUUAUAGAGCAUAUUGUGAUGUUUCAACAUGUAUAUAUUGUAUAAUGAUACUAAAGAAUUUAGCAUGACCAUUGCCUCAGACAUUUGUCAGUUUUGUAUGGAGACCUUUCUUCUAGCACUAACAUUUUAAUUUUAUAUGUGGCAACGUUUUAAUGUUCUUGUAGUUCCUCCUCUAUUCCCUCUUUCUCUCCCUCCCACUGAAAAACCUCCUAGUCUCUGUGGCUUCUCUUCUGCUUCCAUUUUACAUGCAUUCUCUGACUCUUCCCCUGGCUACGAUCUCUUUCUCCCUUUCAUGGUCCUCUUUCUAGUUUCCUAUAUAUAAAUCCAUGAUCCACAUUUGAAAGAAAACGUGCAGUAUUAGUGCCUUAUUUCAUGCAAAACUAGCAAAAUAAUUUCUAGUUUUGUUAAAUCUCUGGCAAGUGUUAUAAUUUCAUUUUUCUUUAUGGGUGAAUAAAACUCCUUUGUGUCUAGGCUUCGAGUUUUCUUUAUUAAUUCAUCUAUUGAUGGAUGUCCAGAUUGGUUCCACUUCUUAGCUAUUGUAAAUAGUGCAUCAAUCAACAUGUACAUAGGGCCAAGAUUUUAAGUCUUCUGGAAGGCAUCACAGUCUACCAUCCCGGGGCUGGGCAAUGUCUUCUCUGACUCCCAAACAUCCCCUCUCACUACUUUUCUUGUUUGUUUCGGUUUUCCUCAUCUAUAUGCCCUCUUCUCAGAAACUACUACCAUCUUUUAUUGUUUUCAAAUAUACUUUCCUCAUAGUAACAAUCUGAAUUGGGGUACCUUAGCCUGGGUGCAUUGUUGGUACAGGUCAUUGGGAUGUUAUUAUUGUUCAUGUUCAUUUGUGUCUACACUCACAUCACCAGUGGAAGCCUCACAGCCUGCAGAAUGGGACUGAUGGUCUGUGUGCAAAUCCUGAGACAAAGUGGCUCACUCAGUAACUCUUAUACUGGGAAGUAAAUAAUUGUGGUGGGAGCGAGGGGGCAGUGGAUCAAAUCUAUUAAGCAACAUUCCCUGAGCCAAAGCCAGAGAGAGGUUAUUGAAACAUAAUUGCACAUUUGGCUUACAGCACAGUACCAAUAGCUUUCAGUUCUUUUAUGGAUUCUUUUCAGAAAUAUCACAUCACAAUGCUCUUAAUGGUGAGGAAAAUGAUAUUGUGUGGAAAAGCAUCACCAUCAACCGCUCCGUGGUGAGAGUAAGUUGGAUGGACUCAGUAUAAAGAGAUUCUAGGAAUUCCUGAAGAACUUUGAUACUCUCUCUGCCCCCAUUCCCAAAGAUCACCCAGGUCAUCUUCUACAGCCUUUCUCCACCACUCCAUCCCUUUGUCUCAGCCUCCAGCUCACAGAGGCAUUCCUGGAAUCUCUCCAGAAAUGCCACCCAGGGAUUCUGAUGGGUAACAUUUACUGUCUUUACCAGCUUCCAAAUCGAAUCCCCCAGUCUCAUCCUCAACUCUAUAGAACACCACCUGCUGAGUCCUCUCCUCUUCUCUGCCCAUUUCCUUACAGCACCCCCUCUUCUUGUCUGCCCCCAUUCCUAAGUGUCAGCUACCAACACCUAGAAACACUCUACCUGGGACCCCCAAUGGCCACACCUGGCAGGAUCUCAGGACCAGUCCCUACCAGUCAACCUACAGCUAACACACUCUCCUAAGAACCAGAAAGGGCAACAGAAACAAAGGAAUGGAACCUACCCAACAAAGACAAGACCAGAUAUCAGCACCUAGAAUUACAAUCAUCCCAAACCCAGAUGCCUAGGUGCCAGCGUUUGGACACAAUUGCUAAUAGGACAAUGUGCCUCCACUAGAGCCUAGCAACCCUACUACAACAGGCCUGGAGAAAGGUAAAAUAGCUGCAGCACAAAGACUUCAAAUAGCUAUCCUGAGUAUGUUAGAGGUUCUUAAAGAGGUUGUGACUAAAUCCAUUAACGAAAUCUAUAAAGCCACAAACAAUGGGAUGAAAAACAAACAAACCCAAAACCUGUAUAGCCACUAUGGUAAUCAGUGUGACAAUUCCCCAGGAAGUAACUUCAAUCUACUUCAAGAUCCAUGUGCAUCUUGGGCAUAUAUCCAGAAGAUAAUUCAUUGUAAAAUAACAUUUGGUUUCCCCCUAGGUCCAUGGUCUAUCUAGUCUCAGAUGUUUGGCCACCCAAGCAGUGUCAGGUAUGGAUUCCAUCUCUUGCAGUGUGUCUUCAAUCAAAUAGUAGUUGCUUACUUCCAUAACUGUUGUGCUGUAUUGCAUCUGUGUACCUUACAGGUCAGUUACCAUUGUAGAUCAAAGGCUUUGUAGCUAGGUUGGUGUUUACUUUUCUCCUUUGGUAGCACACAGAGUGCUUUCAAGUACCAUGAACACUGGGAGUAAAGACUCUAGAUAGGCACCAGCUCAACUUUGUCAUGUUCAAUGAGUUGUGUGGGUGUUGUUUUCAACAAUAGGCCUUUCUGUCAGUUUUUAGAGUGCAACCUUGGCCAUAGCAUGAGUUGUACUCCUUACCACUUUCUUCUAUACUCAUAGAUCUGUGCCUUGCUCAGCCAUUAUCAGAAAAGCCUCUUUCCUGCAGCAGAUGAGAACAAACACAGAAAUCAACAGCCAGUCAGUGUGCAUAAAGCGAGAGACCUUGGAACACUCUGCCCUAAAAGGGAUAUCAUCAUCAAACUCUUCCCCUU